rnacentral:snRNA from 1 species
AUACUUACCUGGUAGGGGCGACUCCAUGAUCAGGCAGGUGGAUCGCCUAGAGUGAGGAUCAGCCAUUGCACUCCAGCUUUUCUGACCUCUAUGAAUUCUCCACAUGUGAGAAUAUCAACUGCAUAAUUUUUUGCUAGUGGGGACUGCAUUCGCGCUCUGCCUGA